rnacentral:rRNA from 1 species
GACGAACGCUGGCGGCGUGCCUAAUACAUGCAAGUUGAGCGCUGAAGGUUGGUACUUGUACCAACUGGAUGAGCAGCGAACGGGUGAGUAACGCGUGGGGAAUCUGCCUUUGAGCGGGGGACAACAUUUGGAAACGAAUGCUAAUACCGCAUAAAAACUUUAAACACAAGUUUUAAGUUUGAAAGAUGCAAUUGCAUCACUCAAAGAUGAUCCCGCGUUGUAUUAGCUAGUUGGUGAGGUAAAGGCUCACCAAGGCGAUGAUACAUAGCCGACCUGAGAGGGUGAUCGGCCACAUUGGGACUGGAACACGGCCCAAACUCCUACGGGAGGCAGCAGUAGGGAAUCUUCGGCAAUGGACGAAAGUCUGACCGAGCAACGCCGCGUGAGUGAAGAAGGUUUUCGGAUCGUAAAACUCUGUUGGUAGAGAAGAACGUUGGUGAGAGUGGAAAGCUCAUCAAGUGACGGUAACUACCCAGAAAGGGACGGCUAACUACGUG